rnacentral:lncRNA from 1 species
GUUCAAAGAGACAAAAGGAAUCAUCGUAAACACGUUUGCAGAAUUAGAACCUCAUGCUGUGAAUCAAUUGAAAUCCGACAGUGAAACACUACCAAUUUACACAGCUGGACCCUUGCUCGACCUGGAGGGCAAAAGGCAAGACUCAGACUGCGAAAGGAUAAUGAAAUGGCUAGAUGACCAGCCUCCAUCAUCAGUGGUAUUCCUCUGUUUUGGAAGCAUGGGUAGUUUUGAGCCUGACCAGUUAGCAGAGAUGGCAAUUGCCCUCGAGCAGAGUGGCUACAGGUUCUUGUGGGCUAUCAGGUCGCCCCCAUCCAAGGACGAUAUCACAAAAAGGAUGGGUGAAUAUUCCAAUUUGUCUGAAGUACUUCCAGAAGGUUUCUUGGAACGUGUCGAGAAUCGAGGAUUGGUGUGUGGUUGGGCACCGCAGAUGGAGGUGCUGGCUCAUGAAGCAGUUGGUGGAUUUGUAUCGCACUGUGGCUGGAAUUCCACCCUGGAAAGCCUGUGGUAUGGGGUGCCUGUUGCAACAUGGCCUCUUUAUGCUGAGCAACAAAUUAAUGCAUUUGAAUUGGUCAGAGAAUUGGAACUAGCUCUGGAAUUGAAGUUGGAUUAUCGAACGGAAAAUGCAAAGAAUCUUGUAAUGGCUGAGGAAAUAGAGAAAGCUAUCAGAUGCUUGAUGGACUCUGAAAAUCCAAUCAGAGGGAGAGUUAAAGAAAUGAAAGAAAUGAGUAGAAAGGCCAUUCAAAAUGGGGGCUCUUCGUUCAUCUCAGUUGGACGCUUGAUUGAAGAUAUCCAUAUCAACAAAGCAAAUAAGGCAUAGAAUCAUUUCCGCCACAUGAUCAUGUUAUCAGCAGAUUAAGGGAAGUUUCUUCAGCUGCUCCUAUUUCCCAAUAUCAAUUUGCUUUGUUUAUUUUAGUGUUUCUUAAUCGAUCUUAUUAUCACAUUGGUGAUUAAAUUCAGGUUAUUACUGCUUCCUUAUGUUUGAAUAUAUGUUUUUUGCUUCAUACUGAUGUCUGGGAGUUCGUCAUUACUUCCCAUUUUUCAUAAGUAGUCCAUACUUAUCUUCUCAUCUUUUGUGAUUCCAUUAUUAAAGAAUUUUCUUGGUAAUCAUCUUUUCGGUUUGACAUGGUGAGCAUACUCUCAAUUGGAAUGAAAACUGAAAUUUAAGUAAGCUUACUUGGUCCCAAGCGUGUGCAUGCAAAGUUAUCACUUGUUAUACAUCUGAAGUUUGUAAUUCUAACUUAUUUUGUGUGUAAAUACUAAAUAGUGAAUACGUGAAAAUCAAGUGCAAAAGAAUUUGGUCAAAUCUUGGACAUGAAAUAUGGCCAAAUUUGCAUUCUUUCCCAAGUCAGGUCUUGAAUCAUGAUCGAAAUUUGUUCAAUUUCAAUCAAUUAAAUAUUGGAAUCCAGUAUCAUUUAGAUUUGGAUUUGGUGGCAAAUCAAUUGCAAUCUCCAUUAGUCAAUAAUACAAAGCCAGGAAUUCUUGAAGGUCCAGGUGAUCAGUUCCAGUUUUGCUUCUGUGAAAUAAAUAAUAGAAAGCGUGGUCAAGUGGCUUUGCUCAUGCAUGACCAAACCCCUUUCAUUUUUUACUCUUUUUCCUCUUUUCUGUAUAUCACAAACAAUGUAAAGAAUGACUGGGAAAGACUGAAAGAACCUCUAGGGACUAUUUUUAAAUUACUGUAAAAGAACCUAUCCGAUUAUUUUAUUUAUUUGCUGUAGUGGGGCAAAUCCGCGCAUGACAUGUGUCAGGUCGGUAGACCGCGCACGGCAGGUCGGCAGUAGGUACCUCGAGGCUGGCAUGGGCCAGCUCGGCAUAAGAAAGCCAGCUCGGCAUGGCGGGGGUCUCCUAUGAUGGGCUUGAUGGGCCGCCGUCUCCGAACAUUUAGGGGCCGCCGCGGAAAACCCUAGGAAGACUCCGAACCCUAAGGGGACUUUGACUCCCAUAAGGAAACUACAACUCGAACGGUCUUAUAUAUACUCCGCUACCAAGACUACGGAAGGUACGCUCACAAGUAUUCUCUACUAUUACUAUACCCUUCUACGGCCAAACUAACUUGACCGUCGGAGUUAUCCCAGGGACAUCAGUCCCGCCUCCGUUCUUUCUUCCCAGGUCACCUAGCACGAUCCCAACUCGAUUUGUCCAAUCAGGUCGGCCGCAUCAGCUCAGCUCGGACACGGUUUUUGGCAGUCGCAUCAAUUGGCGCCGUCUGUGGGAAACCCGUUACACUUCAUUGCGAAUCAUGCCGAAAACUAGGUCGCAGAGGAACGCUGGCGGGCCCAAGGGGGCCGAGCGUGGUGGCUCCCAAAACCCCUCUCGGGGUCCAACACCCGGAGAAGGAGGGGCAGGGCCCUCACGAAUCCCGCCUGAACAACUGGUUCAGACAGUGGCCGAAAACCUGCCCACCUUCGAGGCAAUCAUGAACUACCUCAAAGAGCAGUCGGGAGGUCAUCAGGACAAGGAGCCCAAGGUUCAGGGAGCAGAUCAGUCAGAAUCUCGAACGGGGAGUCCCACCAAAACUGGGGCCAAGCGAGCACACCGGGAAGUCACGCGUGAGCAAGUCGAGGUCAUGAAGCCUUCUCACAAGAACUCCCGAACUGAACACCCGGAACCCGUCCGGAGGCUCCCCAGGGGAGACCUCUCCCCCCGGAGAGAGAGACAACAGGUGCGGGACGAGCUGGACCUGCUUCUAGACCCAGAAGCGGACAGGUACAUUACCUCCCCCUUUGUGCUCGAUAUCGAGGAAUACCAACUGCCUGCGAAGUUCAAAAUUCCAAACAUGAAACCUUACGACGCAACCACGGAUCCGGAGGACCACCUGUUCGUAUUCAUGACGCAGAUGCGCUUACAGACAGCUGCGGACGCGGUCAGGUGUAAGACCUUUCCAAUGUUCCUGGAAGGAAGGGCCCGGCAGUGGUUCCAGGGGCUUCCCCCUAGGUCGAUCGGUUCUUUUAACCAGCUCGCACGGCAGUUCUCUGCACAGUUCGUUUCCUCACGGGCCUACUCCAAAAGCACCGCUCACCUCAUGACUAUCCAACAGAAGCCCGAGGAGUCCUUGCGUGAAUACAUGGUGCGCUUCAAUAAUGAGUCCCUUCAAGUUCGAGAUCGCGACGAUAAGGUGGUCAUGGCCGCCUUCAUCAAUGGGCUGCGCAAGCAAAAGCUUUACACCGAGCUUGUGGAGAGACCUCCCAAGUCAGUUCGGGAGAUGCUAGACCGAGCCCAUGAGAAGGCCAACGCGGAGGAAGCAAAUCGCCUUAAGAGUGCACAAGAGAAACUGAGGGAUGACAAGCGCAAGAAGGGCGCCGACCAGGUGAGGGCACGGCCUGACCAGGGAAGGAAGAUUGCUUAUGACCGUCUCCCCAAGAGCCGCCCAAUGGGAGAGGACAAGUCUUGGAUUGGCCUCACGGCACCUAGAGCUCGAGUGCUCGCAGUGAUGGAGUAGGAGGGGCUAUCCCGACCUCCUCGGCCCUUGGCUGGGGACAAAAAUCGACGGGACCAAGGUCUGUAUUGCGCCUACCAUCGUGAUGUGGGGCAUGAUACGGAGGACUGCCGUCAUCUCAAGAAAGACAUUGAAAAACUAAUCAAACGAGGCCAUCUGGGGCAGUUUGUACGAGAGGAACGAGCUGACCAGCAACGGGGAAGGCCUAGAUCGGAACGUCCAAGCUACCUACGGGACCGGCCUCAGGGGCCCCGUGGCCGAACUCCCGAGCAGGAAAUACAGAACCUGGCGGGGGUGAUUAACACUAUUGCCGGGGGACCUGCGGGUGGAGAUAGCCAUGCAGCUCGGCGGCACAACCGCCCCCCUCCCACGGGGGAGAGCUCGGCCAAGCGAUUGAAGAUGUAUGAGGAAAUAAUUUAUAGACCUGAAGACGCAGUCCCUUUGGCCUCUAAUAACCAUGAAGCUAUUGUGAUAGAAGUCAUCACCUGUAACUACAAAUGUUGUGCCUUCUUUUGCAUUUAACAAGUAUGGUGGUUAUGCCUCAUUCUUGAAACAUGCUACAAGGUUCAAAGAGACAAAAGGAAUCAUCGUAAACACGUUUGCAGAAUUAGAACCUCAUGCUGUGAAUCAAUUGAAAUCCGACAGUGAAACACUACCAAUUUACACAGCUGGACCCUUGCUCGACCUGGAGGGCAAAAGGCAAGACUCAGACUGCGAAAGGAUAAUGAAAUGGCUAGAUGACCAGCCUCCAUCAUCAGUGGUAUUCCUCUGUUUUGGAAGCAUGGGUAGUUUUGAGCCUGACCAGUUAGCAGAGAUGGCAAUUGCCCUCGAGCAGAGUGGCUACAGGUUCUUGUGGGCUGUCAGGUCGCCCCCAUCCAAGGACGAUAUCACAAAAAGGAUGGGUGAAUAUUCCAAUUUGUCUGAAGUACUUCCAGAAGGUUUCUUGGAACGUGUCGAGAAUCGAGGAUUGGUGUGUGGUUGGGCACCGCAGAUGGAGGUGCUGGCUCAUGAAGCAGUUGGUGGAUUUGUAUCGCACUGUGGCUGGAAUUCCACCCUGGAAAGCCUGUGGUAUGGGGUGCCUGUUGCAACAUGGCCUCUUUAUGCUGAGCAACAAAUUAAUGCAUUUGAAUUGGUCAGAGAAUUGGAACUAGCUCUGGAAUUGAAGUUGGAUUAUCGAACGGAAAAUGCAAAGAAUCUUGUAAUGGCUGAGGAAAUAGAGAAAGCUAUCAGAUGCUUGAUGGACUCUGAAAAUCCAAUCAGAGGGAGAGUUAAAGAAAUGAAAGAAAUGAGUAGAAAGGCCAUUCAAAAUGGGGGCUCUUCGUUCAUCUCAGUUGGACGCUUGAUUGAAGAUAUCCAUAUCAACAAAGCAAAUAAGGCAUAGAAUCAUUUCCGCCACAUGAUCAUGUUAUCAGCAGAUUAAGGGAAGUUUCUUCAGCUGCUCCUAUUUCCCAAUAUCAAUUUGCUUUGUUUAUUUUAGUGUUUCUUAAUCGAUCUUAUUAUCACAUUGGUGAUUAAAUUCAGGUUAUUACUGCUUCCUUAUGUUUGAAUAUAUGUUUUUUGCUUCAUACUGAUGUCUGGGAGUUCGUCAUUACUUCCCAUUUUUCAUAAGUAGUCCAUACUUAUCUUCUCAUCUUUUGUGAUUCCAUUAUUAAAGAAUUUUCUUGGUAAUCAUCUUUUCGGUUUGACAUGGUGAGCAUACUCUCAAUUGGAAUGAAAACUGAAAUUUAAGUAAGCUUACUUGGUCCCAAGCGUGUGCAUGCAAAGUUAUCACUUGUUAUACAUCUGAAGUUUGUAAUUCUAACUUAUUUUGUGUGUAAAUACUAAAUAGUGAAUACGUGAAAAUCAAGUGCAAAAGAAUUUGGUCAAAUCUUGGACAUGAAAUAUGGCCAAAUUUGCAUUCUUUCCCAAGUCAGGUCUUGAAUCAUGAUCGAAAUUUGUUCAAUUUCAAUCAAUUAAAUAUUGGAAUCCAGUAUCAUUUAGAUUUGGAUUUGGUGGCAAAUCAAUUGCAAUCUCCAUUAGUCAAUAAUACAAAGCCAGGAAUUCUUGAAGGUCCAGGUGAUCAGUUCCAGUUUUGCUUCUGUGAAAUAAAUAAUAGAAAGCGUGGUCAAGUGGCUUUGCUCAUGCAUGACCAAACCCCUUUCAUUUUUUACUCUUUUUCCUCUUUUCUGUAUAUCACAAACAAUGUAAAGAAUGACUGGGAAAGACUGAAAGAACCUCUAGGGACUAUUUUUAAAUUACUGUAAAAGAACCUAUCCGAUUAUUUUAUUUAUUUGCUGUAGUGGGGCAAAUCCGCGCAUGACAUGUGUCAGGUCGGUAGACCGCGCACGGCAGGUCGGCAGUAGGUACCUCGAGGCUGGCAUGGGCCAGCUCGGCAUAAGAAAGCCAGCUCGGCAUGGCGGGGGUCUCCUACGAUGGGCUUGAUGGGCCGCCGUCUCCGAACAUUUAGGGGCCGCCGCGGAAAACCCUAGGAAGACUCCGAACCCUAAGGGGACUUUGACUCCCAUAAGGAAACUACAACUCGAACGGUCUUAUAUAUACUCCGCUACCAAGACUACGGAAGGUACGCUCACAAGUAUUCUCUACUAUUACUAUACCCUUCUACGGCCAAACUAACUUGACCGUCGGAGUUAUCCCAGGGACAUCAGUCCCGCCUCCGUUCUUUCUUCCCAGGUCACCUAGCACGAUCCCAACUCGAUUUGUCCAAUCAGGUCGGCCGCAUCAGCUCAGCUCGGACACGGUUUUUGGCAGUCGCAUCAAUUGGCGCCGUCUGUGGGAAACCCGUUACACUUCAUUGCGAAUCAUGCCGAAAACUAGGUCGCAGAGGAACGCUGGCGGGCCCAAGGGGGCCGAGCGUGGUGGCUCCCAAAACCCCUCUCGGGGUCCAACACCCGGAGAAGGAGGGGCAGGGCCCUCACGAAUCCCGCUUGAACAACUGGUUCAGACAGUGGCCGAAAACCUGCCCACCUUCGAGGCAAUCAUGAACUACCUCAAAGAGCAGUCGGGAGGUCAUCAGGACAAGGAGCCCAAGGUUCAGGGAGCAGAUCAGUCAGAAUCCCGAACGGGGAGUCCCACCAAAACUGGGGCCAAGCGAGCACACCGGGAAGUCACGCGUGAGCAAGUCGAGGUCAUGAAGCCUUCUCACAAGAACUCCCGAACUGAACACCCGGAACCCGUCCGGAGGCUCCCCAGGGGAGACCUCUCCCCCCGGAGAGAGAGACAACAGGUGCGGGACGAGCUGGACCUGCUUCUAGACCCAGAAGCGGACAGGUACAUUACCUCCCCCUUUGUGCUCGAUAUCGAGGAAUACCAACUGCCUGCGAAGUUCAAAAUUCCAAACAUGAAACCUUACGACGCAACCACGGAUCCGGAGGACCACCUGUUCGUAUUCAUGACGCAGAUGCGCUUACAGACAGCUGCGGACGCGGUCAGGUGUAAGACCUUUCCAAUGUUCCUGGAAGGAAGGGCCCGGCAGUGGUUCCAGGGGCUUCCCCCUAGGUCGAUCGGUUCUUUUAACCAGCUCGCACGGCAGUUCUCUGCACAGUUCGUUUCCUCACGGGCCUACUCCAAAAGCACCGCUCACCUCAUGACUAUCCAACAGAAGCCCGAGGAGUCCUUGCGUGAAUACAUGGUGCGCUUCAAUAAUGAGUCCCUUCAAGUUCGAGAUCGCGACGAUAAGGUGGUCAUGGCCGCCUUCAUCAAUGGGCUGCGCAAGCAAAAGCUUUACACCGAGCUUGUGGAGAGACCUCCCAAGUCAGUUCGGGAGAUGCUAGACCGAGCCCAUGAGAAGGCCAACGCGGAGGAAGCAAAUCGCCUUAAGAGUGCACAAGAGAAACUGAGGGAUGACAAGCGCAAGAAGGGCGCCGACCAGGUGAGGGCACGGCCUGACCAGGGAAGGAAGAUUGCUUAUGACCGUCUCCCCAAGAGCCGCCCAAUGGGAGAGGACAAGUCUUGGAUUGGCCUCACGGCACCUAGAGCUCGAGUGCUCGCAGUGAUGGAGUAGGAGGGGCUAUCCCGACCUCCUCGGCCCUUGGCUGGGGACAAAAAUCGACGGGACCAAGGUCUGUAUUGCGCCUACCAUCGUGAUGUGGGGCAUGAUACGGAGGACUGCCGUCAUCUCAAGAAAGACAUUGAAAAACUAAUCAAACGAGGCCAUCUGGGGCAGUUUGUACGAGAGGAACGAGCUGACCAGCAACGGGGAAGGCCUAGAUCGGAACGUCCAAGCUACCUACGGGACCGGCCUCAGGGGCCCCGUGGCCGAACUCCCGAGCAGGAAAUACAGAACCUGGCGGGGGUGAUUAACACUAUUGCCGGGGGACCUGCGGGUGGAGAUAGCCAUGCAGCUCGGCGGCACAACCGCCCCCCUCCCACGGGGGAGAGCUCGGCCAAGCGAUUGAAGAUGUAUGAGGAAAUAAUUUAUAGACCUGAAGACGCAGUCCCUUUGGCCUCUAAUAACCAUGAAGCUAUUGUGAUAGAAGUCAUCACCUGUAACUACAAAUGUUGUGCCUUCUUUUGCAUUUAACAAGUAUGGUGGUUAUGCCUCAUUCUUGAAACAUGCUACAAGGUUCAAAGAGACAAAAGGAAUCAUCGUAAACACGUUUGCAGAAUUAGAACCUCAUGCUGUGAAUCAAUUGAAAUCCGACAGUGAAACACUACCAAUUUACACAGCUGGACCCUUGCUCGACCUGGAGGGCAAAAGGCAAGACUCAGACUGCGAAAGGAUAAUGAAAUGGCUAGAUGACCAGCCUCCAUCAUCAGUGGUAUUCCUCUGUUUUGGAAGCAUGGGUAGUUUUGAGCCUGACCAGUUAGCAGAGAUGGCAAUUGCCCUCGAGCAGAGUGGCUACAGGUUCUUGUGGGCUGUCAGGUCGCCCCCAUCCAAGGACGAUAUCACAAAAAGGAUGGGUGAAUAUUCCAAUUUGUCUGAAGUACUUCCAGAAGGUUUCUUGGAACGUGUCGAGAAUCGAGGAUUGGUGUGUGGUUGGGCACCGCAGAUGGAGGUGCUGGCUCAUGAAGCAGUUGGUGGAUUUGUAUCGCACUGUGGCUGGAAUUCCACCCUGGAAAGCCUGUGGUAUGGGGUGCCUGUUGCAACAUGGCCUCUUUAUGCUGAGCAACAAAUUAAUGCAUUUGAAUUGGUCAGAGAAUUGGAACUAGCUCUGGAAUUGAAGUUGGAUUAUCGAACGGAAAAUGCAAAGAAUCUUGUAAUGGCUGAGGAAAUAGAGAAAGCUAUCAGAUGCUUGAUGGACUCUGAAAAUCCAAUCAGAGGGAGAGUUAAAGAAAUGAAAGAAAUGAGUAGAAAGGCCAUUCAAAAUGGG